UACGGAGGGUGCAAGCGUUACUCGGAAUCACUGGGCGUAAAGGGUGCGUAGGCGGGUUAUCAAGUCUCGAGUGAAAUCCAACGGCUUAACCGUUGAACUGCUUGGGAAACUGGUAGCCGAGAGUGAGGGAGAGGCAGAUGGAAGUGGUGGUGGAGGGGUAAAAUCCGGAGAGCGCACCAGGAAUACCCAUUGCGAAGGCGAUCUGCUGGAACUCAACUGACGCUGAGGAACGAAAUCGUGGGGAGCCAACAGGAUUAGAUACCCCCGUAGUCC
rnacentral:rRNA from 1 species